AGGCGCGAAGUAGGCUCCCCAAGUGGGCGGCAUAAGAUUGAAAUCGGCGAAACGGGGUUUCCCCUUCAGUGUUACGGAUCGGAUUCGGGUGAACCGCGACGUGGCGCGUCGAGGGGAGAGGGCAUAGCAGUUCCCAAUGAAGAGUUCGGAUCGGGUGAGCGCCUCAACACGGUACCACGACCUGCAGACCAAUGACGCGGCGUUUCUGUCGCGCCGAGAGGUUAAGAAGCAGAGAACGUUCUCGAGGACAUUUUCCAGGACUUGGUCAGGGUAGGGAGCUUGGAAUUCAGGUACAGAACUGGGUCCAGACCCAGAAGUAGAACCAGAAGUACAAGUCUGGGUCUUGCUGAAACACGAAUCAGUGGUGGUAACAGAAUCAGAAGGCGGCGAUCGGUCGUCGUCUUCAGACAUUUCAGUUCGAUCCUCUCUCAUGAAAUUUGGGUUCAGAGAGUGAUUAUGCGAUCUGGGUUUUUUGUUGAUGACCAUAAAAAAAAAGGCAAUGGUUGUUGAUUGGGUAUCAAAUUUCAGAUCAUGGGUUCAGUUGGUUCGGGGAAGAAGAAGAAGAGGAAGAAGAAGAGAGUUUGAUGGGAGUAGAAGAUGCAAGAGGACCGUGUGUUGUAGGAAAAAGAGAAAGAAGCAGGGAUUAGUUUAGUAGCAAUAGCAUAAUUGGUGACAAGAGGGUGUGAAGACUAGGCUGUGAUGUCUGAUAGACUGAGCAUUGGGAUUCUCCAUGCCUCUCUCUCUCUCUCUCUCUCUCUCUCCAAUAUCCAAUGGCUCUCCUCCAUUAUUUGGGAUUUUUUUUUCCUUCUUUUUACAAGCUUUUUUUUUCCUUUAAUUACAAUCUUUUUCUACUAAUUUUUCCUGUUUUUAGAUUUUCUUCUCCUG
rnacentral:misc_RNA from 1 species